rnacentral:rRNA from 1 species
GAUGAACGCUAGCGGCAGGCCUAACACAUGCAAGUCGAGGGGGAGGUUACUUUCGGGUAACUGAGACCGGCGUACGGGUGCGUAACGCGUAUACAAUCUGCCUUUCACUGGGGGACAGCCCGAAGAAAUUUGGAUUAAUACUCCAUAGUAUAGUAAUACGGCAUCGCGAUGCUCUUAAAGCUUAGGCGGUGAAAGAUGAGUAUGCGUUCUAUUAGCUAGUUGGUGAGGUAACGGCUCCCCAAGGCGAUGAUCGAUAGGGGUGCUGAGAGGGAUGUCCCCCACACUGGUACUGAGGUACGGACCAGACUCGUACGGGAGGCAGCAGUGAGGAAUGUAAGACAAUGGACGGAAGACUGAUCCAGCCAUGCCGCGUGCAAGAUGAAGGUGUUAUGGAUUGUAAACUGCUUGUGUAGAAGAAGAAUAAGGGCUACGCGUAGUUUGAUGACGGUACCUUACGAAUAAGCAUCGGCUAACUCCGUG